CCAUUACACAUUUUGUAAAAUUAAAAACUACUGGGGUUUCUUUAAUAAAAUAAAUAUAAAUUUAAGAAUUGAGGAUUUAGGGAAAUCACGAUGAUUUAAACCCUGCCCAAAUCAAAAUCGUUCAGCCAUCUGGGUGCGCGUCUGUUGCGUGUACUUCUCCGGCUCAGCUCCGGUUCAUGACUGCUCAACGGUUCUGGAUCGACGCUCUCCGCGAUUUCAGAAUUUGAGUCUUCUUCUUCUGGCACGGCUGCAGCUCUGAUGUGCUCUACAUCCUCCCUUAAUGUGCUGAAGUCCACCGGAGUCGCAUCAUCGUCGCCCCCUUCAGAUUCAACAUUGUCCUCAAUGUUGAUGGACGGGUGCAUCUUCUUCACUUCUUCCUCGAAU
rnacentral:lncRNA from 1 species